UAGCCUAGUGGUUAAGGCUAUGGAUUGUCAAUCCGGAGACCGCGGGUUCGAUUCCCGU
rnacentral:tRNA from 1 species